AGAGUUGAUCAUGGCUCAGGAUGAACGCUAGCGACAGGCUUAACACGUGCAAGUCGAGGGGCAGCAUAAAAGUAGCAAUACUUGGUGGCGACCGGCGCACGGGUGAGUAACGCGUAUGCAACCUACCUAUCAGAGGGGAAUAACCCGGCGAAAGUCGGACUAAUACCGCAUAAAACAGGGGCACCGCAUGGUGAUAUUUGUUAAAGAAAUUCGCUGAUGGAUGGGCAUGCGUUCCAUUAGGUAGUUGGUGAGGUAACGGCUCACCAAGCCGACGAUGGAUAGGGGAACUGAGAGGUUGGUCCCCCACACUGGUACUGAGACACGGACCAGACUCCUACGGGAGGCAGCAGUGAGGAAUAUUGGUCAAUGGGCGGGAGCCUGAACCAGCCAAGUCGCGUGAAAGGAAGAAGGAUCUAUGGUUCGUAAACUUCUUUUGCAGGGGAAUAAAGUGCAGGACGUGUCCUGUCUUGUAUGUACCCUGAGAAUAAGGAUCGGCUAACUCCGUGCCAGCAGCGGC
rnacentral:rRNA from 1 species